UGCUCCCAUUCCUCGGGAUGAUUUGCCAACGCAUUUUCAAACGCUAUAUCUUGCUCUCUACUCCAUUAACAACUACUAUUUCCCAAUUCAUCCAUAGCCAAUUCAAUUCCAAAAUUUAGAUUGUGAUUUUAAUUUCUUUGUGAAUUACUUCAAUCGUGAUUUUGGAUUCUUAUGAUUUUAUAACCUAUUGAUUGAUUAUAAAUAAAUAAAUAAAUAAAUAAAAAAACAACAAAAUUUAGUUAGAAUAUGUGAAAUCAUCAUCAUCAUGUGAAAAAUUGAUUAUUAACGCGAUGAAAAUUAGGGUUAUGAAUGGAUUUUUGGGUAAAGAGAAAAUUAAAAAAUGAAGUAGAAAAAUAGAGAAAACUCACGUUGCAUAAAGAAGAAGAAAAAAAAGGAAAAUCUUGAUUUGGAAUCUAUCACUCACUCACAUUGUUGAGUUGAAUGCCACUCCUAAUUUCUGAGUUUGAAUGUUUUAGGGUUUUAAAUUAUUGUAUUUAUAUAUAUAUAUA
rnacentral:lncRNA from 1 species